rnacentral:rRNA from 1 species
GGAGGGUACAAGCGUUAUCCGGAUUCACUGGGUUUAAAGGGUGCGUAGGCGGGCAUGUAAGUCAGUGGUGAAAUCCCCGAGCUUAACUUGGGAACUGCCGUUGAUACUAUGUGUCUUGAAUAUCGUGGAGGUAAGCGGAAUAUGUCAUGUAGCGGUGAAAUGCUUAGAUAUGACAUAGAACACCGAUUGCGAAGGCAGCUUACUACGCGAUCAUUGACGCUGAGGCACGAAAGCGUGGGGAGCAAA